CGCGCAUGCGCGCAGUACACAAAGACCUCAGAAUAAUCGAAAAAGAUAGCUGGGUGUUAAGAGUUCUGAUGAAGGGUCUUGGCCCCAAACGUCGAUUCUCAUCCAUUGAUGCUACCUGACUUGUUGAGCUCCUCCAGUACAUUGUGUGUAUUGCUCCAGACUUCCAGCAUCUGCAGUAUCUUGUGUCCCAGAUACUUAUAUGUUCAUUGAAAGGACACACAGACAUCGCCGGAAUGGACUCACUGAGUCAUCGAAGGAGAACCCUGCACGUGCUUGUGGACGCCGAGACCGGCGACCACUGACAGGAGCGACUCGCGGAAAUCGGUCAUGGCGAUGCAGCUGAAGAGGAGGGCCUGAACAUGGGGCAGAUUUCCACCAGCCUAUCUUAGGUCAGACACACCUCUGAUCCCUGCUGUUAUUGGCUGCAGUGCCUUUUGAUCAAAUGAGAACUCACACGGUGAUUAGUUAAUAUGAACGUCAGUCAGCCUUCGUGUCUUUCUGAGCUUCAGUUUGGAUUUCGUAUCGGACAGGAAUCCACUUGCAGGAGGUGGAAUAUUUGGUAAAGCAAAAUGGGAGAGAUGUAACAUUUUAUGUGGUGAUGCAUCAGUCUCCAAGUGACAUUAUUAAGAAUCAAAGGGUGGAGGUUGUGUUGAGGAAGGCAGUGAUUUACUGGAAGUCAUAUUGACAUAAUAUUUAAAGGGAUAUCUAACUUGGAGAUGCUUGGGGAGUGAUUUAGAAAAUGGGGGGAAUUUGAAGUGAUCUUAAUAUUUCAGUAUUGAUUCAUGAGGGAAAAAUGAUUGUUACAGGAACGGAAGGUUGUGUUGCUGACUGGGUCAUUUGCUGAGAUUCAUAAUCAGGAUAAUUUAAGUGAAUAAGUUAAACAAUGUAGGGAUAAAUGUCUAAGUGAAUACCAUGGUGUGUUGGAAGUCAGUUGAAGCAAUGAUAGUAUCAUUGAUGUAGUUUUCUUUGUAAGAAUUUGAAAAGUCUUAUUAAUGCAAUCAGGCAACCCCAGGAAAGGAUGAUAUAUGUAAUUGUAACGGUAUAUAAUACUCUUUUGUGAAAACAUUAACAUUUUUGAAUCAUGUUUGAAAAUUGGGCCAUCUUCCUCGCUCAUGGAAUACAGCAGCAGUAAUGUCAGUUCUGAAACCUGGCAGAUCCCCGUCUGUUCCUUCUAGUUAUGGGCUUAUAUCGUUAAAGUCUCAUUUAUGUAAACUGAGGAACUGUAUGGUAAUCGAGUGCUUGAAUUAUAUUUUGGAAAGAGCAGUGAUAUUGUGUUUUAUUAGAGUGGAUUGUGGAAGGGUAGAAUGACAUUAGAUUCAGUUUUAUGUUUUGAAGAUGAUUAUCAGAAAGCACGGUUAAACAAAGAUGUUGUAAUAGCAGUAUUUUUAAUAUUUUAAAUGCAUGUGAUAUGAUAUGUUAUGGAAGGAAGGCCUUUUGAACAAAUUUUGGAAAUUAGGAAUGAGUGGAGAUUGCAUAAUUUAUCUGAGUUUUUUAUUUGGACGGUUUAUGCAGAUACAGCUGGGCACUUUAUGUUUGUGUUUCUCUGAGAUAGAGAACGGGACCCCACAAGGCAGUAUUUGUAGGCCUUCAUUAUUUAAUAUUAUGAUUAAUGAUACUUUCUCUAAGAUAGGUAGCUGGUGGUAAAUCACUAUAUGCAGAUGAUGUAGCUUUAUAGAUUAGAGGUAGUUUUUCAGUUUUACUGUAAAUAGGAUGCAAUUUACAAUUAAUAGGUCAAACAGUGGGCAAAUAUAUGAUGAUUUUAAGCUUUCAAAUGCUAAAACACAUCAUGUGCUUUACAAACAGGAUUAAUAGACCGGCACUUGAUUUGAAUUUAUAUGUUUAAACUCUUGAGGAAGUGUCGAUGGUAAACCUUACAGGCAUGUGAAUGGAUAAUAAGCUGACCUGGUCGCACCAUAGACUUAAAGUAAGUAAUUCAUAAAUGUAAAGGAACAUUAAAUCUCCACAGGCAU